GGCCUACACAUGCAAGUCGAGCGAGACCUUCGGGUCUAGCGGCGGACGGGUGAAUAACGCGUGGGAACGUGCCCUUCUCUACGGAAUAGUCCCGGGAAACUGGGUUUAGUACCGUAUACGCCCUUCGGGGGAAAGAUUUAUCGGAGAAGGAUCGGCCCGCGUUGGAUUAGGUAGUUGGUGGGGUAAUGGCCUACCAAGCCGACGAUCCAUAGCUGGUUUGAGAGGAUGAUCAGCCACACUGGGACUGAGACACGGCCCAUACUCCUACGGGAGGCAGCAGUGGGGAAUCUUAGACAAUGGGGGAAACCCUGAUCUAGCCAUGCCGCGUGAGUGACGAAUGCCCUAGGGUCGUAAAGCUCUUUCGCCAGGGAUGAUAAUGACAGUACCUGGUAAAGAAACCCCGGCUAACUCCGUGCCAGCAGCCGCGGUAAUACGGAGGGGGUUAGCGUUGUUCGGAAUUACUGGGCGUAAAGCGCGCGUA
rnacentral:rRNA from 1 species